rnacentral:lncRNA from 1 species
CCGUACCUGCCAAUAACCAGACCGUAUAUCAAGCUUCAUGAACCAGCAUGUAUUGCUCAAUCUGUCCAUCAACUCUUGCACCAACGGAACAGGAUAGUUAUUUUUCACCGUGACAUGCCAAUAACAAGACCGUAUAUCCAGCUUCAUGAACCAGCUUGCCUUGUUCAAUUUCUCCCACAAUUCAGCCAACUCUUGCACUAACGGAACGUGAUAGUUAUUUUUCACCGUCACCUUGUUCAACGCCCUAUGCGAUUGAGUAGGAAGCAUCGAACCCGGCAUCGGCUCUAUCUUGUGAUGAAUAAUCCUCCGUGGUGGCAGAUUUUUAGGCAACUCUGGUGGCAUCACAUCAACAAAAGCACUCAAAUAUUAAGCAACGCAGUUCGGCACUAUAACCUUAACGUCAGGCUUCACUUCAACCCCAGCAGCAAGGAAAGUCUCACCUCCCUUCUUCAACCCUUUUCCAACUAACAUGGCAGAAUUUAACAAGGACUUACUUUGAAUUUCUUCUCCUCCAUAAGGAUAAUCAACUUUCACGAAACCAGGAGCCAUAUCAUUCAUGAUCAUCACUCCGUUCAAAUGAGGCAUUGGAACAAAGUGAUGUUUUCGCAUGAAGUCAAUCUAAUGAGGCCUUACUUUGAAUUUCUUCUCCUCCAUGAGGAUAAACAGCUUUCACGAAACCAGGAGCCAUAUCAUUCAUGAUCAUCACUCCGUUCAAGUGAGGCAUUGGAACAAAGUGAUGUUUUCGCAUGAAGUCAAUUCCGAGGAUCACCUCAAACUCUUCCAUUGGAAUCACCAUCAAAUUGACCUUCCCUUUCCAGUUCCCAACAGAUAUAGGAACAUCAUAAGCCAUAGCCAUAAUGGCUUGUGCUUUGGUGUUCACAGUAUUUAUGUAAGAGGGACAUUUUGACACUCUCAAUCAAUACUUAUGCACCAAACUGGCAGAAAUAAGGGUGUGAGUAGCGGCAGUAUCUACAGUAGCUAUCACACUUCUGUCCCCAAUUCUCAUUUCAAUGUGCAUCAGCAAAGAAUAAGGGUUCGUACCGAGGAUCACCUCAAACCCUUCCAUUGGAAUCACCAUCAAACUGACAUUCCCUUUCACAUUCCCAACAGACAUAGGAACAUCAUAAGCCAUACCCACAAUGGCUUGUGCUUUGGUGUUCACAGUCUUUAUGUAAGAGGGACAUUUCGACACUCUCAAUCGAUACUUAUGCACCAAACUGGCAGAAAUAAGGGUUUGAGUAGCUCCAGUAUCUACAAUUGCUAUCACAGUUCUAUCCCCAAUCCUCAUCUCUAUGUGCAUCAGCAAAGAAUAAGGGUUCGUCUCGUAACUUGUAGCAUUUAGCAACGAGAUAAAAUUCAACAAUUGCAAAGGAUUUACCAAGGCAGCAACAACUUCUUCGCCUUCUCCAUCACGAUUACUUUCUGUAGCAAGCAAAGCAUUUACCCGCUCCCGAUUUGGACAGUCUCUGGCAAGAUGAGGUCCUCUGCACCUCCAGCAACCAUCGGUUUUCCGGUUUGCGACGCCUUUGUUUUGAAUGCAAGAAAAGCAUUUACCCGCUCCCGAUUUGGACAGUCUCUGGCAAGAUGAGGUCCUCCACACGUCCAACAAUCAUCAGUUUCCUGUUUUGCGACGCCUUUGUUUUGAACAGCCCCAUCGACAACCUUGCCCUUCUCAAUGACUUCUUCUCGAACUUCUUUCCUCCAUUCCCCUUUCUUCUCCACCAUUUUUUAGGUUUUGAAGUAAGAGGAAUAUCCAAAAGAGUACGGGUGCUGCGAUAGUCCACCAAUGAAUCUGCUGCAGCCAUUGCACUUGGGAGAUCCUUUACAGUCCGUCUACUAUGUUCAUUCUGUGCCCAUGCUUGCAUUCAAGAAAUAAAGUUAUGCAAUUUGUCGUCCUCUGACAUGUUUUGAACAUCCAACAUUAAGGAAGAGAAUUCCUUAAUAUAAUCCUUAAUAGAUCCCGUUUGUCACAAGCGUUUCAAAUGGUCUCUAGCAAGCCAAGAUGCAUUGCUAGGCAAGAAUUGGUCCUUCAUUUCUUAUCUGAGCUUCUCCCAUGUAUUAAUUUUUGGUCUGCCCGCACUUUCAUCAUCCACCAUACGAGUUCUCCACCAUAAUUUAGCAUCUCCCGUUAGGUACAUGCUUGUAAUUGUGACCUUCUCCGCAUUUGGAACUUUGGCAGCAACAAAAUAUUGUUCCAUGUCCCACAGAAAAUUCUCCAAUUCUUUUGCACUAUGCGUUCCACCAAACACCUUAGGAUCAAGAAUCUUUACCUUCGAGCGUUCUUCAUUGCCUUGGCUUGGAGCAGCCAACACCCAGCGAAGAACAUUGAUUUCGGCCUUCAAGUUGUCGACCUCCUUCUUCAGGUCUUCAACUACGCCAUCCGUUGAUUCACAACUUUGUUGGAUCCCAUCGCGAAACUGAUCUACCCCAUCCUUUUGACAGUAAAUCUAUGUUAUAAGAUCUGCCAUAUCCAAAGGAUUAUCGGUCACGCCGAUUAGCGCCUCCAACCGUUGCACUCUAUCACUUAAGUAUGAAAUAGACCCACCCGCCAUGAUUAAGAGUUACAACCAAAAAGCUCCGAUACCAAUUGUUACAGGGUUAAUUUUUCGUAAAAAUAGACACUGCACGGCAGCAGCUCACAACCACUUCAGGCUUCACUUUUCGCGCACACACACAGUCUGACUUAGGAUUUUCAGACUUUAGCCAAACUAAGAACACGCAUAGAAUUUACGGGUAAAACCCUACCUUUAUUAAUUCUCGCAGAAUAUACAAAGGACACUCAUUUUAGACUUGGCUCACAGAUGUAAUGCUACUUUCCUUCUCCAUAGGCGGAGAUACAAUCUACAUAAAGGGGCUGCCAAUGGCAGUUACAAAGGGACAGUUACAAAGGGGCAGUUUCUACCAUGUGCCAUGCACAUGCCUUAGGUGGUUCCGGGCAGUUGCUACCAUGUCUUACUCUUGUAGCCAAUAGCCCAUGAUCUUAGAUCAUAUAUUAACUUCCAGCACAUGUCCUUGACACCACUUAGUCCUAGGCAAUUGCUACCAUGUCUUCCACUUUGUAGCCAAUAGCCCAUGAUCUUAGAUCAUGUCUUCAACUUCCAGCACAUGUUCUUGACACCACUUAGUCACAUUCCAUGCACGAUGGCCUCUAGCCUUGCCCACGUUUUCUUUGUCUCCAUCCCCGCUUUGCAUUGGUUCUUGCCUCGCCCUUAAUUCCAUAGCCACGCCCUGCUAUGGAUUAAGUCAUCUCACCGAUCCGUGCAUGCCAUUGCCCCGCUUUGCUUUGGACCUUGCCUCGCCCUUAAUUUCAUAGCCACGUCGUUAAUUUCAUAGCCCGCGUCGACCUUUUAUCUAAUAAAUGCAUCCCUUCCAGAAGUCGGGGUUUGUUGCACGAAUUAGCUCUAGAAUUAAUAUGGCUAUCCGAGUAGUAGAUACCAUCAAAAUAACUAUAACUGAUUUAAUGAUCCAUUCGCAGUUUCACAGUCUGAAUUUGUUCAUACUUAUGCAUGCAUGGCUUAAUCUUUGAGAAAAGCAUAUGACUACUGGCAGGAUCAACCAGGUAGCAUUCCUCAUUGACGCCGGCGUC